UACGUAGGGGGCAAGCGUUGUCCGGAUUUAUUGGGCGUAAAGAGCGUGUAGGCGGCUUGGAAGGUCCGUUGUGAAAACUCGAGGCUCAACCUCGAGACGCCGAUGGAACCACCUGGCUAGAGUCCGGAAGAGGAGAGUGGAAUUCCUGGUGUAGCGGUGAAAUGCGCAGAUAUCAGGAAGAACACCCGUGGCUAAGGCGGCUCUCUAGUACGGUACUGACGCUGAGACGCGAAAGCGUGGGGAGCGAACAGG
rnacentral:rRNA from 1 species